AUAAGGAUCUUUUUUUUUACUGUGUUUUAAUGUAAAAACAGAGAUCCAAAAUGGCGGCCCUCACACAGGAGAUGUAACCAAAAAUGCUUAUGUCACAAUUAUAAAAAUAAGCAGCAGUGAAACUAAUAUACAUUCAUGUGCCCGCCCAAAAAUAUAAAAUAUACUUAUACACAGUAUACAGUAUAGAGUAUAUUUGUAUUAUUAAAAUUUUUAAAAAAAGCCACUCACCAAGUCCUGACUUCUUUAUCUUCCCCACAGAUGAAUGUAGAUUGCUGUCACUCCCCUGUCCUGCCCAGCAACACAAACAGCACAGCUUCUUCUUAUUUCCUGAGACAAAUCAAUCAUAUGUAGUUAGUGAACUGAUUGUCUACAUUUAGUUGUCAAAACUCCAUUGGGUUAACUGUGUACCAUGAGUGCUAAGAAAAUCUCACACCUGCCAGCCUACGAUUGUGUACAUUUUUACAUCUAGAGGUUUUAACCAGAUGAUUGUAUGGAAAGUCACAGACUUAUAGUGUUAGUUUUUACAGAUGAUAGAUGUCAAUGAUAUUCAAAGCAGACAAUUUAAUAGAUUUUGUGCAGCAUAGGAUGAGUCUGUUCAGCCUUUUCAUAAUCGGAUACCUGAGAUUGUGUGUCGUUUUUUGACUGUUUCUGUCCCAAGUACGUCUGUCUAGACUCUAGAUCAACAAUGGUUACUUUGAAGGACAAGACUAGGAAGUGGAAAAAAAACACUACACAGGAUUUGAUUCACUUGCUGGUUAGACAGUAGUGGGGAACACUAACAGUAUUUCAUCAGCACAGCAAGUAUAUACUGUAUACUUUAUCGCUAGGCCUUAUAGAAUAUGAGAUGGGAGUCACCUGAUACCUGGUGUUGAGAGAUCAAUUUGCUGUUUUAAUAUCUUGCCUCCUGCUGCCAUUUGAAUUUUUUUUUUUUUUAGCUUCAAAUGAAUCAUUUUAACAGUCCAAAGAGUUUCAAAGUAGACUGAACUUGUGGGUAGAUGUGAAAUACGUACAAUGGUCUGAUACGUCUUCAAUGUACUUGACCAAUUUAUAAAAAAAGGGUGGCAAAAAUGUAAUAAGUUGAAUUUAUUUACUCUGCAUUUAUGUCAGUAUAAAAGCACAGCAGUAAUAUCUCUAGCCAAAUUAAGUCCAUUUGAAGGUUUAAUUUAUUUGACAAAUUUUAUGAGACGUUUCUUUUUAAAAUAAAAAAACUAACAAAAAUUCUUACACCAAUUCCAUCUAGUGAAUUUUUCUUUUUUUAUCUUUCCUGCAGCACAAAGACUUAAAGUAAAAAGGGUCGCUUAGAAAAAAUGCACAAGCUCAAAAAAGAAGCAAUGCUGAACACAAACACCAGGGUAUCUUAAACCGUUUAUACUCCGAUUUACUGAAAAUCUGAGUAUGUUGUUGAUGCGAUGCGUCUUUAAUAAGCAUGCUGAAAAAUGCUAGCAUUUUGGCUCUUUUAGAGGAGAACUUCAGUGCCAUACAGUGUUGAAUGUGUUGAUAAGCAGCUGUAUUUGCUGCUUGCGCUGAGCUGUUGUGUUGCAUCGACGCUGCAACCAUAAGUGUUCAUGCUGUGUUGUCGUCUCAGUCUCUGUGUUGUGUAAAAACUUUACUAUAAUAUUUAUUCUCAAAUCCUUUUUGUCAAGACAAAGUACUGUAACAUAAGACAUUUGACUUUGUUUCUGGAGCCUAAAAAACAAGUAAACAACAUGUAUGUACGUACGUAUGUAUGUAUACAUCUGCCACUCCAACAUUUUGUCUAAAGAAAGAUAUUUUCAGUUCCCAAUUCAGCCAAAAAAGUUUUGGGGAGCUCUUACAAAGAAAAAAGCAAAUAAAUGACAUGAAAAUUUUA